AUUGAACGCUGGCGGCAUGCUUUACACAUGCAAGUCGAACGGCAGCGCGGGCUUCGGCCUGGCGGCGAGUGGCGAACGGGUGAGUAAUACAUCGGAACGUGCCCAGUAGUGGGGGAUAGCUCGGCGAAAGCCGGAUUAAUACCGCAUACGACCUGAGGGUGAAAGCGGGGGAUCUUCGGACCUCGCGCUAUUGGAGCGGCCGAUGGCAGAUUAGCUAGUUGGUGGGGUAAAGGCCUACCAAGGCGACGAUCUGUAGCUGGUCUGAGAGGACGACCAGCCACACUGGGACCGAGACACGGCCCAGACUCCUACGGGAGGCAGCAGUGGGGAAUUUUGGACAAUGGGCGAAAGCCUGAUCCAGCAAUGCCGCGUGUGUGAUGAAGGCCUUCGGGUUGUAAAGCACUUUUGGCGGGAACGAAAAGGACUGUGCCAAUACCACGGUUCGAUGACGGUACCCGCAGAAUAAGCACCGGCUAACUACGUG
rnacentral:rRNA from 1 species